CAGGUCUUGACAUCCUCUGACAACUCUAGAGAUAGAGCGUUCCCCUUCGGGGGGCAGAGUGACAGGUGGUGCAUGGUUGUCGUCAGCUCGUGUCGUGAGAUGUUGGGUUAAGUCCCGCAACGAGCGCAACCCUUGAUCUUAGUUGCCAGCAUUCAGUUGGGCACUCUAAGGUGACUGCCGGUGACAAACCGGAGGAAGGUGGGGAUGGCGUCAAAUCAUCAUGCCCCUUAUGACCUGGGCUACACACGUGCUACAAUGGACGGUACAAAGAGUCGCGAGACCGCGAGGUGGAGCUAAUCUCAUAAAACCGUUCUCAGUUCGGAUUGUAGGCUGCAACUCGCCUACAUGAAGCCGGAAUCGCUAGUAAUCGCGGAUCAGCAUGCCGCGGUGAAUACGUUCCC
rnacentral:rRNA from 1 species